AACGAACGCUGGCGGCAUGCCUAACACAUGCAAGUCGAACGAGACCUUCGGGUCUCGUGGCGCACGGGUGCGUAACGCGUGGGAACCUGCCUUUAGGUUCGGAAUAACUCAGAGAAAUUUGAGCUAAUACCGGAUGAUGUCUUCGGACCAAAGAUUUAUCGCCCUUAGAUGGGCCCGCGUUGGAUUAGCUAGUUGGUGGGGUAAAGGCCUACCAAGGCGACGAUCCAUAGCUGGUCUGAGAGGAUGAUCAGCCACACUGGGACUGAGACACGGCCCAGACUCCUACGGGAGGCAGCAGUGGGGAAUAUUGGACAAUGGGCGAAAGCCUGAUCCAGCAAUGCCGCGUGAGUGAUGAAGGCCUUAGGGUUGUAAAGCUCUUUUACCCGAGAUGAUAAUGACAGUAUCGGGAGAAUAAGCUCCGGCUAACUCCGUG
rnacentral:rRNA from 1 species